GAGACCUGUUCUCUCAUCUUUCUAAACUAGGUCAUCAUCACACAUGGAUGGGCAGCAGAUAUUUCUGUUCGUUCUCCUGGGACUUGCUUCUUGCAGUCAUGAUUGGAUUUCUGGAUCAGUGUCAGAGAUGACAUUCGGAGCAGGAGACAACAUCACUCUCUACUGUGACUGUAAAAGUUCUACUGGAGUGUACAUAGUGUGGUACAGAAACUGUUCUCACGUGAACCAGCCAUCUCUUGUGCUAAAGACAAUGUUACAACCUGAUGCAUGGAAACACAAGACUGAGGCAGAUAUUCUGAAUCCUCUUCCUCGUUUCCACUUGGUGUGGAACAGCUCUUCUGAAUCCUAUGACCUGCAGAUCAUGAACAUUACUGAUUUGGAUGAGGGUCUCUACUACUGUGGAACUGAGCAGAGCAGGUUGGAAACACUGACUCCUCAUUAUGUUUACCAAUAUGGCAACACAACCAGGAUCCUAAUCAUUGCAGAAUAUUUCAUUCCAGUGCCAUGCUGCCCACAGCAUUUUACAACCUGGCAGCAGAUCUUGGCUGAAUCUGUUCCCAUUCAGCCAAGACAGCAUGAGUGAGGUCAGGCACCGAUGUUCAGUGAAACGGUCUGGCUCUCAACUUUAAACGUGUUUUAAACUUCGUUAAAAAGAUGCUGGAUGGGCUUAAGGUCACGGCUCUGAGUCGGACACUUUCUCUGCACCAAACUCACAAAACCAUUUCUUUGUGAAUGUCAAUUUUUGCAUUGUCAUGUUGAAGCAAGGAAGGACAUUGAAAAAAAGUCCAUAGCACAAUACUGUCUAAAAUACCAUUAUACAACUUAGAUGAAAAACAGCCCAACACCAAAACUGUGGACAGGGUUGUGUGCCUACUUUUGUAUAUUGACAAUGUUAAUAUGCAGUGAAUUUAACGGUUUGUCUAACUGAUCCCGUCUCAGUAGUGCUCUUAUAAUGAUGUGCAUUUACAUUAUAUUAAGGAAACUAUAGUACCCACCGGCAUACUGUACAUAGUAUCUGGAAAUCUGCAUCAAGAUAGUUACAACUCAUCGUAGCAUUUUAAAAUCUCAAUAUCUCAAGGUCUCUGAAUAUGGCCCACAAUAAUUAUCUGAAUAUUUCCAACAGAGCUAAUAGUCACAGCUUCGUGUUUUAUCCAGACACCAGUGUGCCUCAUCAACAUGAGACUCCACGAGACUGUGGUGUGUGCUGGAGGUUGCUGCUCUCUCUCUGUCCAGCUUCUGCUGUUUUCUCUUCUCUCCUCUCCUCCCUCUUUGUUUAUCACCUUUGUCAAAAAACAGGUAACUACAGCACGUCACUUUUAUCCACACAUCCUUUCUUUUUUCAGUUCAUUGUAUUUACUUCGAUGGCCAGAAUAGUUUCUCUUUUGGAGCUUAUUGUUUUUUAUCCAGGUCUUCUUUUAUCGUACCGUGGGAUGGGUUAUACUGAUGAUGCUGUAUUUAUUCCUGCAGCUAAAGGACCAAAAGCCAGCAGGGAAAGACUUGACAACAGAGACCAAACAAGGGGGAAUAAGGAUGAAGAUGUGUGUUAUGCUGCACUGGAAAUCCGUCAGGCAUCACAGAGAUCUAAGAAGAAGGAAACUCAGAGUUCAGACGUCGCCACUUAUUCUGCCAUCAACACUUGUCAGAUGUAAAAGGCCUACCACUUUGUAUAAUUAAUUAAUUUGUUCUGAUACUUAGGAGACCAUUCUGUCCUUUAGACAUGUAAUGUUCUCCAGCAUAGAAACAAUCAAUACCUCCAAUCAUUAUCAUACAUACAUGAAAAUGUAUGGAUAUGAAAUAAAGUUUGCUUUGUUUUAGUUUGUGUUUACUUCAAAAUAAACUAUUUUAUCUGUG